UCAAUUAAAUUCGCGAAUGGAGCAUUUUAAUUGUUUGAAAUUAAUUUCGUCCUCACAUUUCUAACAGUGUGCAUAUAAUGACAGUUGUACGUGAAUAUUUAAAGGCGAUCGUUUUAAAAUAAUUCCAAGUGAAUUUCUAGUUGGAUAAACGUUCCUAAUAGAAACUUCCUUUUGAAAUUAAAGUUUUAAUACAAGUGCAUAUACCAUCGUCGUACGGUGUAUUGUCUAAUCUCGAUUAAUGCACGAGAUGAGAACGCUAUAAGUGUUUUUCGUGCAACUCAAGCAAGGGUUCUAACUAGCAUCCUAUUGUUUUUAGGACUAUCAGCAUUUUCGGAAGCUGCCACAUCUGCCUGUUGUUUCGGGAGUGCUCUGGAGAGUCCAGAUUCAAACCUGGAAGACUCAUACUCGAUUUUCGAAACUGCCGUGAUCGAAAGUUGUAAAAAUAUCAGAAUUUGAAUCUCACAAUCUCCGAAGCGAUGUGCUUCUCCAAAAUCCGUUGUCCAGGAGAUCUUGGGACUCAUUUUAUGAAGUUUCAAUUUCGUGCCUUUGGGACUACUUCGAAUUUUUGAUCAUCCGGGCCGAGUCCCGGACAGUCUAGACCGCGUAGGCAUAUAAAAUUUAUUUAUCUUUCUAAUAAAACAAUUAAUUUCUAUUUUUUUAUUUGCAAUUUACUCCCUUGCCAAAUUAAAUAUUCAUAUCCCAAAUAUACACUUUAAAUAUUGAUGAGUUUGUAAAUAAUAUGCUGAAUUUUUUGUAUUUUCUUGUCUUUCUCUUUCAACUGUUUUGUAUUUCACUUUAUUAUUUCUACGAUUAUUAUUAACACACAGUAGAGUAUUUUUUCACUUUAGUAUAUUGUCCUAAAUGUAAUUUUGAAUUAACUCGAUUGUAAUUUAGUGUGUUAGGUACAACCCUUCUAAAUUGCUUUUUACUGUAUUUUCUUUGAAAUUCAAAUUGUUUUCUUGUCUUUUUCUUACAGGUAUUUUGUUUUUUACUUUGUAAACUGUUGAAUUAACUCAAUUGUAAUUAAGUGUAAUAGGUAAAACCUUUCUAAAUUGCUUUUUGACGUAAUUUUUAAAAACAAGUUAAAUAUUUAUUAACACUUUCAUAACUAGUAUUCAUUUGGGCGGAUAUAGGGUGGCUAUAAGGGGAGAUGUGGAGGCCACAGAAGAUUAAGGGGGCAUUUUUGUCCCAAAUAUACUGUCUAAAUGUUAAUUCAACAAUUUCCAAUUGUUAAUAAUCAUAAAUCAUUUAAAAUGUUCAGAAAUUGUUAAUGUACUUUAUUCAUUUAUUGAAAAUGUAGUUUGUGUUUAU